AGAGUUUGAUCAUGGCUCAGAUUGAACGCUGGCGGCAUGCCUUACACAUGCAAGUCGAACGGUAACAGGUUAAGCUGACGAGUGGCGAACGGGUGAGUAAUAUAUCGGAACGUGCCCAGUAGUGGGGGAUAGCCCGGCGAAAGCCGGAUUAAUACCGCAUACGACCUACGGGUGAAAGCGGGGGAUCGCAAGACCUCGCGCUAUUGGAGCGGCCGAUAUCAGAUUAGCUAGUUGGUAGGGUAAAAGCCUACCAAGGCGACGAUCUGUAGCCGGUCUGAGAGGACGACCAGCCACACUGGGACUGAGACACGGCCCAGACUCCUACGGGAGGCAGCAGUGGGGAAUUUUGGACAAUGGACGCAAGUCUGAUCCAGCCAUGCCGCGUGCGGGAAGAAGGCCUUCGGGUUGUAAACCGCUUUUGUCAGGGAAGAAAAGCUUCGAGCUAAUAUCUUGGAGUGAUGACGGUACCUGAAGAAUAAGCACCGGCUAACUACGUGCCAGCAGCCGCGGUAAUACGUAGGGUGCAAGCGUUAAUCGGAAUUACUGGGCGUAAAGCGUGCGCAGGCGGUUCUAUAAGACAGAUGUGAAAUCCCCGGGCUCAACCUGGGAACUGCAUUUGUGACUGUAGAGCUGGAGUACGGUAGAGGGGGAUGGAAUUCCGCGUGUAGCAGUGAAAUGCGUAGAUAUGCGGAGGAACACCGAUGGCGAAGGCAAUCCCCUGGACCUGUACUGACGCUCAUGCACGAAAGCGUGGGGAGCAAACAGGAUUAGAUACCCUAGUAGUCC
rnacentral:rRNA from 1 species